GCCAUAAGAUGACAGCAUGUUCACAAAUUUUUUACACCACACAUUUUUAUUUUUAUUUAAUUGUAUUUUUUAUAUAAUGUGUUGUUUGUGUUUAUUAUUUUUUAAUGUUGAGUGUUUAUUCUAUGUUUUUUACAUUUAGUGACAUGCAUAUAUACACACAACAAAAAUCUCAACAUCAAUUCUAACCUCAAAGAUUUUUUUGUCAUCUUUUAUUUUUGUUUUCAUGUUUUAUGUUUUUUGAUUGUAUAUCAUGUUUUGAUCAAAAAUCUCAUUUUUAUUAUUAUUAUUUCGAAAUUCUCAUGCUGUCUUGAAGAGUCGUAAUAUCACGACGAAAUGCAUAGACGAAUUCGAAUUUUUUAAAUAUAUGAAAAUUCUUUUGUGAACAAAAACACCGUUCUUAUUUAAUAGACCAAAGGCCACAAAAAUAUUAUCUCAAUGAUAUACAUAUAUUGCAAUAAUAUAAAUGUGAGGUAAUAGGUGAACCGUCUGUCGAAGACAAAGGUUGGAUCCAAUUUUCAAAAAUGGAACGAAGGAACAAAAGUUAGGACCAAAACGGGAAUUCCAUGACGAUUAAUUCGGGCUUGUGUAACAAGUGGUUUUCAUUUGAAGUCACAUCCACCGCCAGCACCAUCAUCAAUUUAUCGUCGGUAUAUCAAGAAAUUUUUUUAUAAUAAUUUUUAAAAUAUUAUGUUUAAACUUAAAAAUAAUUUUUAAGAUUUAAUUUUAAGUUUUUUUUAACCAAUUUUAAACGAAUUAAUUUUGCGAAAUUGACAAUAACGGCGACGACAGCAGACAUAAAAUUAAAAAAAAAGGAAAAGAAAAUUAUUAAUUUAUUUGAGAAAUUUGUGGUGCUCUGAAGAUCCAGAUUAUCUCACAAUCAUGCAUCUUUUCAAGGACCAAAAACAACGUGACUAUACGUACGGGAUUCACAGAGUUGAUGGGAAGACUUUUUGAAAAAUUCAAUUAUGAAAAUUCAUCUGCUCCGAUUCAGGAAAUGUCGAGACGGAUGAAUGUGAAUAUUCGCACAAAUAUGUCUUUCCCUACCUGAAAUCGAUUAGCAAAAUUUUUCGUAAUUGAAUUUUGAAAAAAUGGUCUAACACAAAAACAAACGACGUCGACAACGACGAACUCAACAGACGACGACAAUAAACAUUACAAAACAGAUAGACGAAAAAUACGAAACAGGAAAAAAGAAACAAGUGGACUAGGAAGAACAGGAGUAAAAAGAAUGGGACAAAAGAAGGCUGACUAUAAAAAAUGAACGAAAAUUUAAUAGAGUCAUACCUAGACAAAAAACAAAGAGACAAAAUGAUUUUCUCACAAAAAUAUCGGGAUUUGAAGACAAUAACCGUUGAACAGUUUUAAAGAAAUGAAUGUGGAAAAUCUGGACUUUCGUAACGUGGAAAAGAGUUCCGAAUGCCACAAAUUUUUCCUUCGCCUGCAAAUUUAUUUUUCAAUUAAAAAAAAAAAAGUUAUAUAUUAGUCCCAAUAAUGUCAAAUUGUUUAAAGUAUUUAACAUAGACAAAUCAACUUUGACCUGACUGAUAAACAAUCGGCAAACCAUCAUCAUCUUGGCGAAUCGAGGUGAUAAAAGGUCUCGAUUCGGGCUUCAGUUGGGUUUCGGUGGUGUUGGCAGCACACGACCCAACGAAUUCGACAUUAAGACAGUAGACAAGCAUAUUAAAAUAAAAACUGCUUCUUUUCGUUGGCACACCCAGGAGAAGAAACGAUGGACAGCUCUAUUUAAAAACACAAAUAAUUUAGUUAAAUAUUACAAUGACACGCUACAAACUAACGAAUACAGGGACAAAGUUAACCACAAAGACUCGACGAAAAUUAUAACAUCGACAAAGUUUCUCCUACAGACAUCUUUUGAACAGCAGAUUUUCAUAGAGAAACGUAAAGUAGCUAAAUUAAAAUGUAUCAAGUAUAUGAUGAUUCAACGAGAGGCAGACUACUUGACAAAAUAUAUCGUGGGUGAUGUCAACAAAAGACAGUUGAUUGUCAUGUUUUGGGUCAACUCGAUAUCUCACCAUGGAUGAAGGGGCACGUACGCAUGUCUUUGCGUUCUGUAAUCAAAAAGACUUGUUGAAAAGCAACGAAAAUUAAAUAAUUUGUACGUUAUUUUUGUCAAUAUAUACAAAUAUUAUACUGCGCUAAAUGUAAAAUCUCUUGGAACAGGGACGAAAAUGCGGCGAGAAAUAUUCUUUAUUUGGGCAUGUUGAAAAUGGGUCUGAUCAAAAAACGACAACUGUUGAGAUGAGAACAAUUUCGAGCACAAUCAUAAUUUUUUAAAUUCUUUUAUGGAUAAAAUUAUGACAGAGUUCCAUUUAGAGUUUAUUUUAAUUUCUAAUAAAGAUAAAAUAUUUAUAUGUAUCAAUUCAAAGCUAAUAUGACAUAAUUUCAUAAUAUUCAGAUAAUAGAUUUAAAAAAAUGUUUUCUCUAUAUUGUUUAACUGUAGUUAACAGUAAGAAAAAUUUCGCUUAUUUUAAAACAAUUUCAAACAGAUGUAGGGUAGUUGCACCAGUGAAAGAAUUGACACCAGUAAAAAAACAAAUUGAUUAUUUAUUACGAUAUUUCACAAAUUAUAACUUUUAGCAAUAUAAAAAAAACAUUUUUUGGUUCCUUAUUUCUUCAAAAUAUAGUUUAUGAUAAAAAAAUAGAUUUAAUAUGCAAGUUAUUUCUGAAAAUAAUUUUUUAAUGUUUUGGUGGGUUAUGAACAUGACAAAUGAAUGAAGCAUAAACAGAAAAAAGGUUACAAGUUUCAGGUGCAAUUAAAUAAUAUUUCUGGUUGCGUAAUUAGAAAAAUAUUAAUAAUGGUAAGUUGUAAAAUUGUUUCAGAAUAUUUGUAGCGUUUUUCAUAUAAUUUUUGUUAUUUUUAGACACUGUAUUAAUAUAAAUUUGAUUUGUUCUUUCACUGGAAAAUACAACUGUUCUUUUACUGGUCAACAUUCUUUCACUGGUAAAAUGGACAUUUUUCAAUAUUUGAUUAAAAUUUAAUAUUUUAUGUUAUAUUUACAAAAUUUGUAUCAUAGGCUUCAAAUUCUUUAGAAAUUUUGCUACUCAUUGCAUACGUUUAAAAGGAAAUUCAAGAAUGUCAAUUAAAAAUAAAAAAUAUCGAAAAUAUACAUUUCCUUAAAUGUUCUUUCACUGGUGUCACUACCCUAGUUUUUAACAAGUCAACACACAAAAAUAUCAUGCAUUGCAAUUGAAAAGGGGAAUUUUUCUUGUUUUGAUUACGAUUGUUAUUUGUUUAUUAUUAUUAUUUAUUUGUUAAAUUUUUAAGUUUUUUAUAAAUUAUUUACAAGAAAAAUUAUGCAACGGCACACUAUAAAAAAAAUUUUUACGGACUUUGAAUUAAAAUAAAUAUUGAAAUUAAAAAAAUGCAUAAGUGUCUACUCUUAAACAAGACAAUACUGAUUUUAAAGCUGCACUAGAAUCAUUAUGGAAAGUUGAUAUCUGACCUUAAAAGAGAUAAAUUUUUAUAACUCCUGAAGGACCAUGAUAUAAUUUUGCUUGCUCAUGAAACUUUAUUUACAGUAUUGAAUAAAAUGCACGAAGAAAAAAAGAUAAUGAAAAUUACCUUGAGGAGUGUAAAACUUAAAAAAUUUCCUGUGUCAACUAUGGGACAAAACUCUGUUAUAUGUAGGUUAUUAUCUACGUAAUAUCAAAACAGUGUGUUUGGUUUAAAAA